AGGAUUGAUUGCCACAUCCCCAUGAUGUUUCUGCUGUGUGUCUUUGUGUUUCUUUCGGCUAAUAAGGAAGAAUGAUGCAAGGGCAAGAAAUAUUCCAGCAGUGAUCAGCUCUCCUCCAGCCAUGUGCAACAAUUGAGCAGAAGACCACCAGUGAUGAGAAAGCCUCCUCUCCAUCCAUAGUGGUCGAGCAGCUUUUGUCCUAAUGGAGAAAGAGCGGACAGAAAUACAGGGCUUCCAGCUGCUGCCAGUCCAUUUGCAAGUGGUCUGCGUUUGUCAAAGUAAGACCCCAGCAUAAUUAGUGAUGGUUGGAAGUUCAAAGCCAGUCCAAGACCUUUACAGAGACAAAGGUUAUGGAGUCACAGCAUGUUUCGGCUAGAGUGAAACGCAGGGCGGCGGUCCGUUAGCAGUUCCCGCCGAACAUGACUCCAGCUCGGGCAGAGAACCAGCGCUGCGCGGCGCCGUUACGGUGGAAACAGAAUAACAGACACUGGUCGAUUAGGCUACACGUGAAUUACUUCUGUUUAAUGUUUAUUUUUUACUUUUAAUGUUUGUUAAAGAGUUUAAAUAUAGGCAAUAUGUAUAGCCUAUUAAAAACGACAUAUACAAUGCUGUAAAUGAUAA